CCCAAAUGAGCAGGAGAAUCUUAGCACAGUCACCUACACACUCAUUUCAAUGCUCUGGCCCCUUAUCCAAGCUAGUCAAAGUGUGGUCUAUGGUUUUGCAUUUUAAGGAGAUCCCCGGGCGAAUCUUGUGGCUGUCAAAGGCGGAGAAGCACUGCCGAAAAGGUGAACUAAUUUAUCGAGGAAAAGGACCAAGAACAUCUUAAAGAAAUACUUCACGAUGAAAGUGAUGUUUUAAGUGCAAUUUCAUC
rnacentral:lncRNA from 10 species